GCCUGAGUGGCGGAAUUGGUUUACGCGCACGACUCAAAAUCGUGUGGAGAAAUCCAUGUGGGUUCGAGUCCCACCUCAGGUA
rnacentral:tRNA from 1 species